UCACCUCGUCUCGAUGUCGGUCCCUACGUGAUGUCUCCGAGUUUGAAUCACGCUGACAAAAGAAUUCCCAAGAAAGAUGUCCAAAGAUUUGAUGGUGGUGUGAAGUUCGUAUGGCCCCUACCAAGCGCUCGACAAAUUGUUUGAAACGGAAAAUCAUUACCGAUCUCGUGGAUUCGAGUUAGCUGUUGGAAUGGUAAGUUGAUUUGUUAUUCCAGUCGACUAGGUAUAAUAUUUAUUAGAUUGCCUGAGUCGUUUACGGUGAUUUGAUCGGUAGUCGUACAUGUUGCUGAUCCCCUGCUUUAUAGUAGUUAUUACGUUCUAUGUGGUUUGCUUGGGUUAUUAGUUUCGUGUAAUUUAAUAUUAGUACGGUAUUUAACGUGUAAUCGACGAAAAACCCGGAUUCGUAUUCGUUAAUCAAUGUAGUGAAUCUGAGCUAAAUUUAUUAUUGGCGCGCAAGUUUGUUAGCGCAAGUUUGUUAGCCGAAUUGUUAGAUAGAUUAAAUAAAUAUGUGUGGUGCGAAAUAAAAUUAAAUUAGUUCUUGGUAAGCAAAGUGGUAUAAUUUAUAAAGCGAGGGAUAAGGUUAGCAUUUAAUCAAUUAGCUGAUGAGUUGUGUAGGCUAAUUGUGUUUAAUGUGUAUAGUUUGUUGUUCGUGAUGUUUGCGUUAGGUUCAAGAAGCGUGAUUAUUGCGCUUAGUCAUACGUCGAUAACUAGUGUUUCUUUAUAAAAUGGUACAACGCCUCGCUACUAGAUGUUUAAUUUGUUGUCGUGUAGCAAUAUUUAGUCUUGUUAUAUUCCUGUCUAUAUGCAUUCAUGUGCAUAAUGCAUUUCAUUCAGGUACGUGAAUUAACCACAUGAUGCGGAGAACCAGAACUGAGUCGACCACAAGAUGCUGGAAAGCGUGAGCAUCUCCGCAAGACGCUGUCGUCAGUCGGACCAACCUGAAGAUGGAUAAUCUGAACGAGUUCCAAGACAAAGGAUGGUUGCCAAGUGGACGUCAUCUAACAAACUCUAACGUAGUGUUUAUUCCAGGCAAGCCCCGGUGCAUGCAACCCCUUCCUUGUGUUUUAAAUGAUUUUUACACACUUUAAGUCUAGUAAAAUGUGCAUUAGGUUUAUAG
rnacentral:lncRNA from 1 species